AUAGCACGAAAGUAGUGAUAAGGCAACUCCUUGUGCUUAUCCAAAGAAUAGGCUUUUUAGUUACGUAAUGUAUACUAAGAAUAAGUGAUGGGCGAAGACCGGUGCCAGCAGCCGCGGUAAUACCGGCGUCACAAGUGGAGAUCACGAUUACUGGGUCUAAAGUGUUCGUAGCUGGUCAUAUAAGUCUCUUGUGAAAGUUCUGUAGCUUAACUCAGAAUUGCAAGAGAUACUGUAUGACUUGAGACCGG
rnacentral:rRNA from 1 species